UACGUAGGGGGCGAGCGUUGUCCGGAGUUACUGGGCGUAAAGCGCUUGUAGGCGGUCCACCAAGUUUGGGGUGACAGUUGCCGACUUAAUCGGCAAAGUGCCUCAAAGACUGGCGGACUUGAGGGCCACAGAGGGACAUGGAACUCCAGGUGUAGUGGUGAAAUGCGUAGAUAUCGGGAGGAACACCUGCGGCGAAAGCGGCUCACUGGACCACAACUGACGCUGAGGCGCGAAAGCUAGGGGAGCAAACAGG
rnacentral:rRNA from 1 species